CCCAACACUGACGCAAUUAACCCACAGCCAGGACACCACGGGCCGCUUCUCGCCCCGCCCGGCCUCUGACCCUCAGCAGCGGCUGCUGGCCCCAGCCCGCAGGGCACCGGCUUCGACUCUCCCACGCAGCCAACAGCAGCGCCGCAGCCCGCCCGGCCGUCCCGCGUGCAGUCAGCGCAGUGCAGCUGUGACCUGGGGCUGAUAGUCAGGGCAGCUGGAUACGGGCUGGCGGCGCCGGGGGGGGGGGGCGCAAACCAGGCUGUCAAGGGGCCUCUAAACGGCCUGGAGCUCACCAUCUCGGCUCUAGCUGUAAAGUCAAACCUUACAGGGCGAAGGGUUCCCACAUACGCACCUGGGUGCUUGCUGCCUGGCUGGAGCCCUGGGCUUGAGCCGCUCACAUAUUCAAGAGCUGUACUGUUGGCCACGAGACCCACAUGAACAAAACUAGGAACGGACUAUACAGAGAAAGUAACUAUACAAAGUGCUGUCAAAUGUACAGAUACUCCAAAACAGAAGGACAUGGACCUGAGGAUAGGAAAAAGCAAUAAGGAGAUAUUUGAAAAAGAAAACGUCUUUGUAACUAUCUCUACUGUCAUGAAUAAAACAUAUUACAUGUA